rnacentral:rRNA from 1 species
GACGAACGCUGGCGGCGUGCUUAACACAUGCAAGUCGAACGGAAAGGCCCUGCUUUUGUGGGGUGCUCGAGUGGCGAACGGGUGAGUAACACGUGAGUAACCUGCCCUUGACUUUGGGAUAACUUCAGGAAACUGGGGCUAAUACCGGAUAGGAGCUCCUGCUGCAUGGUGGGGGUUGGAAAGUUUCGGCGGUUGGGGAUGGACUCGCGGCUUAUCAGCUUGUUGGUGGGGUAGUGGCUUACAAAGGCUUUGACGGGUAGCCGGCCUGAGAGGGUGACCGGCGACAUUGGGACUGAGAUACGGCCCAGACUCCUACGGGAGGCAGCAGUGGGGAAUAUUGCACAAUGGGCGGAAGCCUGAUGCAGCAACGCCGCGUGCGGGAUGACGGCCUUCGGGUUAUAAACCGCUUUCGCCUGUGACGAAGCGGGAGUGACGGUAAUGGGUAAAGAAGCACCGGCUAACUACGUG